rnacentral:rRNA from 1 species
UGGGGAAUAUUGGACAAUGGGCGAAAGCCUGAUCCAGCAAUGCCGCGUGUGUGAAGAAGGUCUUCGGAUUGUAAAGCACUUUCGACGGGGACGAUGAUGACGGUACCCGUAGAAGAAGCCCCCGGNUAACUUCGUGCCA